CGGGGGGAGCAAGCGUUGUUCGGAUUUACUGGGCGUAAAGGGCGCGUAGGCGGCCACCGCAAGUCGACUGUGAAAUCUCCGGGCUUAACCCGGAAAGGUCAGCCGAUACUGCGGGGCUAGAGUGCAGAAGGGGCAACUGGAAUUCUCGGUGUAGCGGUGAAAUGCGUAGAUAUCGAGAGGAACACCUGCGGCGAAGGCGGGUUGCUGGGCUGACACUGACGCUGAGGCGCGAAAGCUAGGGGAGCGAACGGGAUUAGAUACCCCGGUAGUCCUAGCCUUAAACGAUGAAUGCUUGGUGUCUGGGGUUUUUAUAGUCCCCGGGUGCCGUCGCUAACGCUUUAAGCAUUCCGCCUGGGGAUACGGUCGCAAGACUG
rnacentral:rRNA from 1 species